CCCUUAGAUGUUCUGGGCCGCACGCGCGCUACAAUGGUCUUCGCAAACGGAUGCGUUCUCGAAGGAGAAUGCCAAUCUUGGAAUCUAUGCCUUGGUCGGGACAGUUGCUUGCAAUUUUUCGACUCGAACCAGGAAUUCCUUGUAAUCGUGAUUCAUCACAUCACGAUGAAUACGUCCCUGCCCUUUGUACACACCGCCCGUCGCUCCUACCGAUCGAAGAGUUAGGUGAAUUGUUUUGAUCGAUAAGAUUUGACUAUGGUCAACUCUCGUUGUGAAAUUCUGUGAAUCUGACUGUUUAGAGGAAGGAAAAGUCGUAACA
rnacentral:rRNA from 1 species